rnacentral:rRNA from 1 species
AUGAUGAAGGCUGCACAAUCUCGCCCUUGGUCAGAUCUUCCGCCAGAACUCCUGGGACUUGUUCUCAAGCGCCUCCCUUCCCUAGCUGACCGUGUUCGUCUGAGAGCUGUCUGCCACCCAUGGCGCUCUAAUAGCAGGUUGCAGACCCUUCCUCUCCCAUUCCUGUGGCUCACUCUCCCUGAUGGCACCCUCCUCGGCAUUCCAAGCGGUGAAAUUCACCACAUAUCUUUACCGGAAGGUGCGUGUUGCCAGGGCUCCAUUGACAACUGGCUAUUCCUCAUGCACAAUGAUGGUGUGUGCUACUUGAUGAGCCCUUUCUCCAAGACCAGGUUGCAGCUUCCUAAGCUAAGAUGA